ensembl:lncRNA
CCUCUGUGUCUCCCUGUGCAGAGAUGAAGGGACAGACAUGAGUGAUGGCGACUGGCACAGGUGGGUAUUGUUUGUUGGCAGAGGAAGAAAGUUGAGAAGGGAGAUGACAGCAUCAACUUAAUGUGUUUUCCUCUCUCUGUCUCUGUCAGGCGCACUGCUUACACACAAUUGUGAGGCAGUCUCCUUGCACAGACACACUUACACCAAUACAGGAACAAUGACACUCACAUCUCAACAUAUUUUUGACAUUGACAAAGAAAUAAAAAUACACGCACGUUCAUUCACAUGCCACAUAGAGGGUGUAAAUGAGAUGGAGAUGAGAGGCUGCUAAUGGCAUAGCACCUGUCAGCAGCUGAUAAAAGCACUCAAUGGGUUAACAAAUGUCAACAUCAAGGCUAAGCCAGCAGUUAGAUGGUGAGUAAAGGCACAAGCAGAAUCCUUAUGUUGCACAUUUGUUUGACCUUGAUCCCACUUCUAAUGGUUGUCAUCGUUGCACAACAAAACAGAGACAUGCUGUCUGUCUUCUUUCCCAGUCUUUUGCAGCUCAUGUGGUUAGACAGGAACUACUGAUAUAGGGGAGAUAACUAAGAUAAAUUUAACAAAAGCCAUGAUUAAUUUUAAAAUAUGUAAUUAAAAAAGACAAAAAAUAAUACAAAACUAAUUGACAAAAAACAAAACAAAAAAACUAGGACUUGAACCCUAGAUUCCUGGCUAAAUGCCUUAUGGAGUAUAUCCUGUGCCUGGCAAAGUGGUAAAGGUAAGCUCAUUCUUUGUUAUUUAGCUUUGUUUUUGGUGUCUCGCAGCUCCUGAGGGAAAUAUCUUGCUCUUUAUCUACUAAAUGCUCCCUGUGUUUGCUUGGUAAUUGCUGUCAGUAUUUGUUUACUGUUUGGUGAUGAGUAGGUGCUGAGCUGCCUGCCACCAAGAAAGACACUAAGAGAGUGAUGAAAGUGAACCUAAACAUUAAAGUUGUUGCCCAGACAGCUAAAAGAAAUGACCCAAGAUUCAACAAGGCUCAGUAAAACCAAGGGGAGCAGAUUUCUGUGGUAAUUCUUUGUUGGUGUGAAAUCUUUGGUUGUCUGUUGAUCUAUUUUUAAUAUAAAAAUAUAAAUGAAAACAAUUUCAGCAUUUAAG